rnacentral:rRNA from 1 species
AACGAACGCUGGCGGCAGGCCUAACACAUGCAAGUCGAGCGAGGACUUCGGUCCUAGCGGCGGACGGGUGAGUAACGCGUGGGAACGUGCCCUUUGCUUCGGAAUAGCCCUGGGAAACUGGGAGUAAUACCGGAUGAGCCCUUUGGGGGAAAGAUUUAUCGGCGAAGGAUCGGCCCGCGUUGGAUUAGGUAGUUGGUGGGGUAAUGGCCUACCAAGCCGACGAUCCAUAGCUGGUUUGAGAGGAUGAUCAGCCACACUGGGACUGAGACACGGCCCAGACUCCUACGGGAGGCAGCAGAGGGGAAUCUUAGACAAUGGGGGAAACCCUGAUCUAGCCAUGCCGCGUGAGCGGUGAAGGCCUUAGGGUUGUAAAGCUCUUUCAGCUGGGAAGAUAAUGACGGUACCAGCAGAAGAAGCCCCGGCUAACUCCGUG